CAUCGAGUCUAAUAAUUCUUUUAAAUAUUUAUAAUAGCCAACGUGAUCAAUAUCAAAUCUAUUAAUUUUUUUAAAUAUAUAUAGUCAUUAAAGUGAUGCACAUCAAGUCUGAUGAUCAUCUUGAAUAUUAGAAUAAUAAAGAUGAUUCAAAUUGAGUCUAGUGAUCACUUUGAUCAAUUUAAAAAAUCUACAAAUCAAAAAUUACAUGUUUUGCUUAUCUCUAUCCUAUGCAU
rnacentral:lncRNA from 1 species